CAGUAGGCCGCGGGAAUACGGAGGGUGCAAGCGUUAAUCGGAAUUACUGGGCGUAAAGCGCACGCAGGCGGUCUGUCAAGUCAGAUGUGAAAUCCCCGGGCUUAACCUGGGAACUGCAUUUGAAACUGGCAGGCUAGAGUCUUGUAGAGGGGGGUAGAAUUCCAGGUGUAGCGGUGAAAUGCGUAGAGAUCUGGAGGAAUACCGGUGGCGAAGGCGGCCCCCUGGACAAAGACUGACGCUCAGGUGCGAAAGCGUGGGGAGCAAACAGGAUUAGAUACCCCAGUAGUCCCUGUCUCUUAUU
rnacentral:rRNA from 1 species